GUGCUUGCUUUCGGCAGCACAUAUACUAAAAUUGGAACAAUACAGAGAAGAUUAGCAUGGCUCCUGCGCAAGGAUGACAUGCUAAUUCAUGAAGUGUUCCAUAUUUUU
rnacentral:snRNA from 1 species